ensembl:lncRNA PVT1 Pvt1 oncogene
GCAGAAGGACAAAUACAGAAUCCGUGUCUGGGAGAAACCUCGUGGCCUGGUCUCCAUUAUUUGAGAUGAGUUACAUCUUGGAGGUGAGGACGUGCCUCGUGGUCUAAAGCUUCGGCACAAGGGCCCAACUGGAAUUCCACUUACGGGACCAUAGCUGUCUGCAGUGCAGGAAGCCAACUAUUAAGGGGAAACAAAAGUGUUCUUAGGAGUCCUGCUGUCACUGUGGAUUGAGCCGGUGAAGCCCUGAGGGAUUUCAUCGCUGAGGUGGAUGGAGAAGCAGCUGGGGGCCUUGGCUGUAAGGACCCCUAAGGGCCUGAUCUUUUGGCCAGAAGGAGAUUAAAAAGAUGCCCCUCAAGAUGGCUGUGCCUGUCAGCUGCAUGGAGCUUCGUUCAAGUAUUUUCUGAGCCUGAUGGAUUUACAGUGAUCUUCAGUGGUCUGGGGAAUAACGCUGGUGGAACCAUGCACUGGAAUGACACACGCCCGGCACAUUUCAGGAUACUAAAAGUGGUUUUAAGGGAGGCUGUGGCUGAAUGCCUCAUGGAUUCUUACAGCUUGGAUGUCCAUGGGGGACGAAGGACUGCAGCUGGCUGAGAGGGUUGAGAUCUCUGUUUACUUAGAUCUCUGCCAACUUCCUUUGGGUCUCCCUAUGGAAUGUAAGACCCCGACUCUUCCUGGUGAAGCAUCUGAUGCACGUUCCAUCCGGCGCUCAGCUGGGCUUGAGCUGACCAUACUCCCUGGAGCCUUCUCCCGAGGUGCGCGGGUGACCUUGGCACAUACAGCCAUCAUGAUGGUACUUUAAGUGGAGGCUGAAUCAUCUCCCCUUUGAGCUGCUUGGCACGUGGCUCCCUUGGUGUUCCCCUUUUACUGCCAGGACACUGAGAUUUGGAGAGAAUCCUGUUACACCUGGGAUUUAGGCACUUUCAAUCUGAAAAAAUACAUAUCCUUUCAGCACUCUGGACGGACUUGAGAACUGUCCUUACGUGACCUAAAGCUGGAGUAUUUUGAGAUUGGAGAAUUAAGAGCCAGUCUUGGUGCUCUGUGUUCACCUGGUUCAUCUGAGGAGCUGCAUCUACCCUGCCCAUGCCAUAGAUCCUGCCCUGUUUGCUUCUCCUGUUGCUGCUAGUGGACAUGAGGUAACCACAGCCUAGUUCUGUGAUAAGCUCUUCACACCUGUACCCAUAUGGACUGUGGGAGAGUUUCUCUGAUAUGGACUGUGAUGCGGAAGGACAGAAUAACGGGCUCCCAGAUUCACAAGCCCCACCAAGAGGAUCACCCCAGGAACGCUUGGAGGCUGAGGAGUUCACUGAGGCUACUGCAUCUUGAGACUCAGGAUGAAGACCCAGCUUGGGGCUGUCAAAGAGGCCUGAAGAGGCAGAACACCCCAGAGGAGCCUGGGGCCACCACCCAGCAUCACUGUGGGAAAACGGCAGCAGGAAAUGUCCUCUCGCCUGCGUGCUCCACCUCGGUCCACGCCUUCCCUCCUUCUGGAAGCCUUGCCUGACCACUGGCCUGCCCCUUCUAUGGGAAUCACUACUGACCUUGCAGCUUAUUAUAGACUUAUAUGUUUUUUGCAUGUCUGACACCCAUGACUCCACCUGGACCUUAUGGCUCCACCCAGAAGCAAUUCAGCCCAACAGGAGGACAGCUUCAACCCAUUACGAUUUCAUCUCUGCCCCAACCACUCAGCAGCAAGCACCUGUUACCUGUCCACCCCCACCCCUUCCCCCAAACUGCCUUUGAAAAAUCCCUAACCUAUGAGCUUUGAAUAAGAUGAGUACGAACUUCAUCGCCCACGUGGCGUGGCCGGCCUCGUGUCUAUUAAAUUCUUUUUCUACUACAA